AGAGAUCAAAACAUUAAUAAAAAGUCUUGCCACCUCAUUCUUGAUAUUCGAUAGCAAGAACGCUAAGCUCAUCCGAAAAGAAAAGGCUUCCAACGAUAUUUUGCAAUCAAUUCCAACGAAAAUUGUUAGAACCGUAGCAAUGUAAAAUAUUUGCGGUUCUGAAGGAGUACAGUACUAUCUUUUCCAAGAAUAUUAUAUGGAUUGUUUCCUACUCCAGGUAUAUUAAGACUAUCCCUUCUUUCUUUUUGGCAUGAUCUAUAUGACACGAACGAAAAGAGCGAGAUGCACUAGUCUCAACCCUUUAGUAGGAAACAUAUUACAUCCUGUAAGAGUAGUGGUGUAGUUGGUGCUUCCAUAACAUGUUGUUCGUGUAUUGGGGGUACUGAAGAAGCUCUAAAGCAGGCUCAUUGAAUUAGUGAAAUUUAAGUCACAUUAGAAGUAGUAUCCAAGUUUAAAGAGAACAACUCCACAUCUUUCUAUGCAAGUUUGGAGACAAUCUUGCAUGUAAUUCAGCUUUCUACAAAAAGAAUCUUACAUGUAAUUUGGCUAAUGACUUUUUGAUUGGUGGAAGAACGAUUGCUCAACACCUUAAGAUUCUAGGAGGAAUCUUGUCUAUUAUUGCAUGUCAAAUAGUCAUUCAAGUGUAAAAUCAAAGUUAAAUGGCUUUUCAACAUAUUAACAUUCCUCAGCAUGGGUAUAUUUUCUCUUUCUGUGUAACUGAUUGAUCUUGAAAUUCCUCCACCUUGUUCUUGAUUAGCCUUAUUUGGUGUCAGUACUGUAAUCAGCCUUAAUCUUUUAUACAUAAAGUUUGCAAGCUCAGUUUGCUUAUUAUUAAGACUAGUGGAUCAAAUUUCAUAAAUGAUUCUAUUUAUAGAAGUAUUAGAGAUUUGUAUGUUCCUGAUUCCCCAUAUGUCCUACUACCAUAUUGUCUAUUCAUGGGUUUCAUAACAUUCCAAAAGAUCAUAUUGUCUUACUUCAUUAUGUAUUGCAUUCAUUUAUACAUGUCUAUUUACCCACGACUCAAACGGGGUUAUAUACACGUAUAUAUGUAUAUAUAUGUAUAUGCGAUAUGGGAAAAGGUUACGGCAUACGCAUCACCAAAUGUUCAGCUGGUAUACGAUUAUGAUUUUGCCCANNNNNNNNNNNNNNNNNNNNUACUAUAAAUGUUUCAUGAUUUAUAGAUCUAUCCAGACAUGGAGGUUGAGUCCUUUACUCCAUGUUUCUUCCAUGUCCUUAAUUAAUGUUGACUUACUGUUAUGUUUCAGUUCUGCCUUACAUACUCAGUACAUUAUUCAUACUUACGUCUUUUUGUUGGGGAUGUUGCAUUCAUGCCUGCAGGUAUAGAUAAUAAGUUUGAUGAGCCCUCAUAGUAGACAAGGUUAGCAUUAAGUAAAGGAUUGGUAAGACUCCACCUCAUUCGGAGUGCAGCCAAGUUUAUGAGUAAUCGUAUCAAAGUUUGCCACACACUUAUGGGUACGCCGGUACCCUAUCACAUUUGACGUCGAAUAAUCUUAGAGGCUUGUAGACAGAGAUUCAGAUUAUAUAGUAUGUCAGAGGCCUUGACGGCCCAUAUGUAUUCAUGUUUUAUGAACGAUGGUUCAUUGAUAUAACAUUUACCCACUUAUAAUUGUACAUUACGAGUUAUGGCCAUGUUGGCCCAUGAUAGUUUCAAAAGAAAU
rnacentral:lncRNA from 1 species